UACGUAGGUGGCAAGCGUUAUCCGGAUUUACUGGGUUUAAAGGGUGUGUAGGCGGGCUUUUAAGUCAGUGGUGAAAUCUCCGGGCUCAACCUGGAAACUGCCAUUGAUACUAUUAGUCUUGAAUUUUGUUGAGGUAGGCGGAAUAAGUCAUGUAGCGGUGAAAUGCAUAGAUAUGACUUAGAACACCAAUUGCGAAGGCAGCUUGCUAAACAAAUAUUGACGCUGAGGCACGAAAGCGUGGGGAUCAAACAGG
rnacentral:rRNA from 1 species